GGGGUACCUUAGCCAGAACAUACCCCCCUGGACGCCAGGUAAUUAAGAAUGCGGGACCCCCAGGGAACCUGGGUCAUUGAUCACCGGACUUCCGGGGGAAGCGAUAAGCCAUUAAAGUCUUCAACAAGUAAAGAGGUGAUGCCGCGCAAGUCGUCCGUAGGUGUCUUUAAUCAGGCAACGAUCGACCCCCACCCUAGGUGCUACCGAGGAAGUUUCCAAGGGCACUCUAGGGACUGCCGCCGACAAGGCGGAGAAAGAGCGGGCCACGGCAGGUCAGUAUGCCCCGAAUUCCCCCGGGCCACACGCGAGCUGAAUGGCAGGACAAUGAGUUCCAACCUUAAAAAGAAGGAAUCUCCAAACCGUGCCUCAGUUGGAUCGAGGGUGAACCCGCCCUCGUGAACAUGAAUGCCUAGAAUCGCGCUCAUCAUCGCGCGGAAUACGUCCCCGCUCCUUGACACACCGCCCGUCGCUCCAUCCGAGUGGGGUUUGGGUAGGCGUGGUCUUAUUGGCCGCGUCGGAUCUAGGCUCCGCGAGGGAGUCGAACCAGGAAGCACGAAUCCCGCGGCCAUGGCGGCCGGACCAUGUGCGCU
rnacentral:rRNA from 1 species